ACCAGACUCGGGUGCGGCUGCUCAGCCGGUCUUCUGACCGGUGCAUCGGUUGUACCCGGGCCAGCAUCGGUUCGGGCGGUCGGAUAAAGGUUCCGGGAACGUAGCUCCUCUCGGGGAGUGUUAUAGCCCGGGGCGCAAUGCGGCCUGCCCGGACCGAGGAACGCGUUCGCUAGGAUGCUGGCGUAAUGGUCGUUAGCGGCCCGUCUUGAAACACGGACCAAGGAGUCUACCAUCUGUGCGAGUAUUAGGGUGUCAAACCCUUGUGCGUAAUGAAAGUGAACGGAGGUGGGAACCCUUUGGGUGCACCAUCGACCGAUCCAGAUGUCCUCGGACGGAUUUGAGUAAGAGCACCGCUGGUGGGACCCGAAAGAUGGUGAACUAUGCGCGGAUAGGGUGAAGCCAGAGGAAACUCUGGUGGAGGCUCGCAGCGGUUCUGACGUGCAAAUCGAUCGUCAAAUCUACGCAUAGGGGCGAAAGACUAAUCGAACCAUGAACACCUACUAGGUGGUUGAGAGCGGGUGCCCGGUCGGGCGCCCGCCUAGUCCCCGAGCGGGGGCGACACUGUCAAAUUGCGGGGACACCUACCAAGCGAACGGGUGACCGCCCUCCCCCCGAGACGGGGGCGAGCAGGCACCGGGCCAGGGGGCCCGGGUACGGUCAGACCACCCGCGCUCAGGUCAUCCGCAGCCCCGCCCGCAGGUGCCUCGCAGCACCCGGGCGAGGGUUCAGAGACUAAACGGCGGUGGGCGCGAACUCCGUGCCUAAGAGAUAGUCCGUCUGCCCCGAGAUGGGUGCAGAGAUGGGU
rnacentral:rRNA from 1 species